UCCACAAAUGUGUUUCCUCAAAGGAAAUUAUCAAAUUCGUUAAAGGAAGUUAGAGGGAAUUAUCAUAUCCAAAUGAUAAAGUCUCCAUUGCAAAAGGUUAAAUGUUAAUGCCGGUCAACCCUUUACAUGUGACCCACGUCACAGCGCCUUCUUCUCUAAACCCUUUAACAGUUACUUCUUAUCUGACGGCUGCCAUUGGGUAGAUCAGAAAGUUUGCCACUCCUCAUUAUUAUAUCAUUGUUAUAGAUGCUUAGCCAUGAUCAAGAGCAUUUCCUUGAAGAAUAACGAAUAGAAUGAGAUUCGCAAGUAAGCAUACCAUGAGAUUCGCAAGGCCCCUUAUACCAGGAGGAACAAACUCUAUGGCACAAAGAGUGAGUACCACAAUGGAACUUUAAUAGAGAAGAACGCUCACCUCGUUGGAGACCAUGGAGUUCUUAGUUGGUUUUGCAAUUCUCUUGAUCUUGGUUGUCUUCUCAAGCGUGUUCUACCUGAGAGUAGCAUCGCAAUCGCCAUCACUCCCCACUCCACUGCCGAUCAUCGGCCAUCUUUACCUCUUGGGAAAGCUCCCUCACCACUCUCUCCUCGCGAUUGCUCGAAAGUAUGGCCCCCUCGUCAAGCUCCGGCUUGGCUCGGUUCCCG
rnacentral:lncRNA from 1 species